GAUUCUUGGUCAUUUAGAGGAAGUAAAAGUCGUAACAAGGUCUCCGUAGGUGAACCUGCGGAAGGAUCAUUACCGAAUUGUCAACGAGGGUUGUUGCUGGCCCCCAUAUGGGGGCAUGUGCACGCUCUGUUUACACAUCCACUCACACCUGUGCACCCUCUGUAGUUCUAUGGCCUGGGGGGCUCUGUCCUCCUGCUGUGGCUCUACGUCUUUACACAAACACUGUAACAAAGUCUCAUGGAAUGUAUGUCGCGUUUAACGCAAUGAAAUACAACUUUCAGCAACGGAUCUCUUGGCUCUCGCAUCGAUGAAGAACGCAGCGAAAUGCGAUAAGUAAUGUGAAUUGCAGAAUUCAGUGAAUCAUCGAAUCUUUGAACGCACAUUGCGCCCCUUGGUAUUCCGGGGGGCAUGCCUGUUCGAGCGUCGUAUAAACCCUCAAGCUUAGCUUGGUGUUGGGGCCUGCUGUUAACAGCAGCCCUUAAAAGCAGUGGCGGUGCCGUCUGGCUCUAAGCGUAGUAAUUCUUCUCGCUCCAGGGUCCUGGUGGAUGCUUGCCAACAACCCCUAAUUUUCUAUGGUUGACCUCGGAUCAGGUAGGGAUACCCGCUGAACUUAAGCAUAUCAAUAAGCGGAGGAAAUCACUAGGGAAUU
rnacentral:rRNA from 1 species